rnacentral:rRNA from 1 species
GAUGAACGCUGGCGGCGUGCCUAAUACAUGCAAGUCGAGCGAACGGACGAGAAGCUUGCUUUUCUGAUGUUAGCGGCGGACGGGUGAGUAACACGUGGAUAACCUACCUAUAAGGCUGGGAUAACUUCGGGAAACCGGAGCUAAUACCGGAUAAUAUUUUGAACCGCAUGGUUCAAAAGUGAAAGACGGUCUUGCUGUCACUUAUAGAUGGAUCCGCGCUGCAUUAGCUAGUUGGUAAGGUAACGGCUUACCAAGGCAACGAUGCAUAGCCGACCUGAGAGGGUGAUCGGCCACACUGGAACUGAGACACGGUCCAGACUCCUACGGGAGGCAGCAGUAGGGAAUCUUCCGCAAUGGGCGAAAGCCUGACGGAGCAACGCCGCGUGAGUGAUGAAGGUCUUCGGAUCGUAAAACUCUGUUAUUAGGGAAGAACAUAUGUGUAAGUAACUGUGCACAUCUUGACGGUACCUAAUCAGAAAGCCGCGGCUAACUACGUG